AUGAACUUUUCGCCUAGACUAGCGAUUGUACUCUUCCUAAUGUUUGGAGAAAGCAAUGGAGACUCAGUGAUACAGACGGAAGGUCGAGUCACAAUCUCUGAAGGGACUUCUCUGACUGUGAACUGUUCCUAUGAAACCAAACAGUACCCAGCCCUGUUCUGGUAUGUCCAGCAUCCCGGAGAAGGUCCACAGCUCCUCUUCAGAGUCUCCAAGGCCAACGAGAAGGGAAGCAACAGAGGGUUUGAAGCAACAUACGAUAAAAGAUCCACCUCCUUCCACUUGCAGAAAGCCUCGGUCCAAGAGUCAGACUCGGCUGUGUACUACUGUGCUCUGGGUGACACAGUGUCACAAACUGCAGGGGGAGCUGAGCACGAACGCUGAGAAGCAGGAGACUGGUGCUGAGUGGGUCUGAGAUCACUCAUUUAGGGACCAGGGGAAGGUCUGCUAUUGUUAACACUCACCAUACAUUCAGACACCGCUGCAGUGUAAACCAUGCAAAUUAACACUAAGAACACAUUAGGAGAACAGGAAGUGAGCAUGCCUUAACUUAGGCUUGAUCAGAAAGAGUGAAAGCAGUCACACACCACAAUGAUUUCCUUUUUGAUUUGUUUUGUGAGAUGGGAUUUCCAGUAGCUCA